ACGGGAGGCAGCAGUAGGGAAUUUUCGGCAAUGGGCGGAAGCCUGACCGAGCAACGCCGCGUGAACGAAGAAGUAUUUCGGUAUGUAAAGUUCUUUUAUCAGGGACGAAAAGACAGAUUGACUGUACCUGAUGAAUAAGCUCCGGCUAACUACGUGCCAGCAGCCGCGGUAAUACGUAGGGAGCGAGCGUUAUCCGGAAUUAUUGGGCGUAAAGGGUGCGCAGAUGGCACAUUAAGUUUCUUGUUAAAAUGCUGGGCUCAACCCAGUAGAGCAAGAGAUACUGAUGAGCUAGAGUACGACAGAGGCAAGUGGAACUCCAUGUGUAGCGGUAAAAUGCGUAAAUAUAUGGAAGAACACCAGUGGCGAAGGCGGCUUGCUAGGUCGAUACUGACAUUGAGGCACGAAAGCGUGGGGAGCAAACAGGAUUAGAUACCCUGGUA
rnacentral:rRNA from 1 species